UACGUAGGGGGCAAGCGUUUGUCCGGAUUUAUUGGGCGUAAAGAGCGUGUAGGCGGCUUUACAGGUCCGUUGUGAAAACUCGAGGCUCAACCUCGAGACGCCGGUGGAAACCGUAAGGCUAGAGUCCGGAAGAGGAGAGUGGAAUUCCUGGUGUAGCGGUGUAAAUGCGCAGAUAUCAGGAGGAACACCAGUGGCGAAGGCGGCUCACUGGACCGGUUCUGACGCUGAUGCGCGAAAGCGUGGGGAGCAAACGGG
rnacentral:rRNA from 1 species